rnacentral:rRNA from 1 species
GACGAACGCUGGCGGCGUGCUUAACACAUGCAAGUCGAACGAUGACGACCGAGCUUGCUCGGUCUGAUUAGUGGCGAACGGGUGAGUAACACGUGAGCAACCUGCCCUUCACUCUGGGAUAACCUCGGGAAAUCGGGGCUAAUACCGGAUAUGAGCUCCUGUCGCAUGGCGGGUGUUGGAAAGUUUUUCGGUGAAGGAUGGGCUCGCGGCCUAUCAGUUUGUUGGUGAGGUAGUGGCUCACCAAGGCGAUGACGGGUAGCCGGCCUGAGAGGGCGACCGGCCACACUGGGACUGAGACACGGACCAGACUCCUACGGGAGGCAGCAGUGGGGAAUAUUGCACAAUGGGCGAAAGCCUGAUGAAGAGACGCCGCGUGAGGGAUGCCGGCCUUCGGGUUGUAAACCUCUUUCAGCAGGGAAGAAGCGAAAGUGACGGUACCUGAAGAAGAAGCGCCGGCUAACUACGUG